CCUACGGGUGGCUGCAGUGGGGAAUAUUGGACAAUGGGCGAAAGCCUGAUCCAGCCAUGCCGCGUGUGUGAAGAAGGCCUUCGGGUUGUAAAGCACUUUCAGUGGGGAAGAAUGCCUUGGGGCUAAUACCCUCGAGGAAGGACAUCACCCACAGAAGAAGCACCGGCUAACUCCGUGCCAGCAGCCGCGGUAAUACGGAGGGUGCGAGCGUUAAUCGGAAUUACUGGGCGUAAAGCGCGCGUAGGCGGUCUGAUAAGCCGGUUGUGAAAGCCCCGGGCUCAACCUGGGAACGGCAUCCGGAACUGUCAGGCUAGAGUGCAGGAGAGGAAGGUAGAAUUCCCGGUGUAGCGGUGAAAUGCGUAGAGAUCGGGAGGAAUACCAGUGGCGAAGGCGGCCUUCUGGACUGACACUGACGCUGAGGUGCGAAAGCGUGGGUAGCAAACAGGAUUAGAUACCCCGGUAGUC
rnacentral:rRNA from 1 species